UACGUAGGGGGCAAGCGUUGUCCGGAUUUAUUGGGCGUAAAGAGCGUGUAGGCGGCCAGGUAGGUCCGUUGUGAAAACUCGAGGCUCAACCUCGAGACGUCGAUGGAAACCAUCUGGCUAGAGUCCGGAAGAGGAGAGUGGAAUUCCUGGUGUAGCGGUGAAAUGCGCAGAUAUCAGGAGGAACACCGGUGGCGAAGGCGGGUCUCUGGGCCGAUACUGACGCUGAGGAGCGAAAGCGUGGGGAGCGAACAGG
rnacentral:rRNA from 1 species